rnacentral:rRNA from 1 species
UACGUAGGCAGCGAGCGUUGUUCGGAGUUACUGGGCGUAAAGGGUGUGUAGGCGGUCGUUUAAGUUUGGUGUGAAAUCUCCCGCUCAACCGGGAGGGUGCGCCGAAUACUGAAUGACUUGGAGUGCGGGAGAGGUGAGUGGGAAUUCCUGGUGUAGCGGUGAAAUGCGUAGAUAUCAGGAGGAACACCUGCGGUGUAGACGGCUCUCUGGACCACUACUGACGCUGAGACGCGAAAGCGUGGGGAGCAAACAGG